rnacentral:rRNA from 1 species
UACGGGAGGCAGCAGUGGGGAAUUUUGGACAAUGGGGGCAACCCUGAUCCAGCCAUGCCGCGUGUCUGAAGAAGGCCUUCGGGUUGUAAAGGACUUUGUUAGGGAAGAAAGGGAAGUGCUAAUACCACUUUUUGCUGACGGUACCUAAAGAAUAAGCACCGGCUAACUACGUGCCAGCAGCCGCGGUAAU